UGGGGAAUCUUCCGCAAUGGGCGAAAGCCUGACGGAGCAACGCCGCGUGAGUGAUGACGGCCUUCGGGUUGUAAAGCUCUGUGAUCGGGGACGAACGGGCGGGAUGCCAAUACCAUCCUGUUAUGACGGUACCGUAAGAGAAAGCCACGGCUAACUACGUGCCAGCAGCCGCGGUAAUACGUAGGUGGCAAGCGUUGUCCGGAAUUAUUGGGCGUAAAGGGUGCGCAGGCGGUCUCUUAAGUCUGUCUUAAAAGUGCGGGGCUCAACCCCGUGAGGGGACGGAAACUGGGAGACUGGAGUAUCGGAGAGGAAAGCAGAAUUCCUAGUGUAGCGGUGAAAUGCGUAGAUAUUAGGAGGAAUACCAGUGGCGAAAAGCGGCUUUCUGGACGACAACUGACGCUGAGGCACGAAAGCCCAGGGGAGCGAACGGGAUUAGAUACCCUGGUAGU
rnacentral:rRNA from 1 species